AAAAUAUGGAUGAGACAAAAAAAUAUCUUGUUAUUGUAGAAUGGCCCAAAAGUAGUUGAAGGUGAGCCUGAUGUUGAAGAUGAACUGAUGAUGAGAGGUGAAGAUACCCUUCGAUAACCAGAAACAGAGACAGGGAUGGCUGGGUGUAUUUGAUGAAAUUAUGAAACUCAAACAGGCAGAAACAAAAGGGCAACAAGCAGGUGGAAAUCCAAAAUAAUCAAUUUCAUGAGACAGAAAGAUUUUCUGCAUUUAGCUUAAAAUGAUUAAGUGCAGGAAAAGAAUGACUUUCACUUGUUAUUCAUGGAAAUGGUCAUAGAGGGACCUGAUGACACGUUGAAGGAUAAGUGAAUAGGGUGGAAAGAGACGUACCCUGGAUAACGAUGGACCUUUGUUGGAGUUUGUGGAAAAUAUUAGUUUUUAAAGAGAAUUUUUAGAAUGUCUGCCCGUGUCUGUGUCUGCCCGGCUGGCCCCACAGGGCUUCACUGGUUUGUUUUUGUUUUGUGCCUGUCUCUCUCUCCCUCUGUCGACACUCUGCCUGGGAGGAGCCUUCAGCAAGUCCCUGCCUUGUCUGCACAGCUGUUCUCAAUUACUCAGCUGAGAAUUCUCUGAUAUUUAAGGCUGGGAAGCAGAACGGGUCUUCGCUGGAUGAUUAAGUGAGACAAUUUCCCCGGACCAACUGCCUUUCCUGUGUGGAGUACAAGUGUGACAGCGUGUGGGAGAGCGUGAGAGGAUUUCCCCUUCCCCAAUUGGCUUUUUGGACCCUGACCCUGUGGUUUCCCUCUUCACUUGUAUAUAGCUUGCACUUUGGUGACCUGUAAAUAAACCGCUUUAUUGGAUCUAAUCCCGUCUGCGCCUGAGUCCUCCCUAACUCGUGACAUAGAAUAUACCAGCACAGAUCCAAAUAUGUUUUGAUUAUUUUAGUGCCACAAUAUUUAAAAGGCUGUGGUAAGAGGAACAACAAAGUAAUGUUUGAUGUUUCAGGCAAACGUGAAAAUGCAGAUAAAUAAUCACCUUUUGACAAUCUUCCAUUUAUUUGCAAGGUGUGAAUUUAUUGCAGUCGCUUGUGUAAAAAGUUGUCUGAUA